GUUAAAAAAAAAAAAACAUUCCCUGUACAAUGAUGUAUGUAUGUAUCCCACUUUGAUAAUGAAGUUAGAUGAUGUAAUUGAUAUGUUGAUUUUCACCCCAUAGUCAUUAAAGUUGUAGUAGUACUGCCAAACUCUUUGUUUUGUGGCCAAGGGCUAAUGUAUAAAAACAGUUCUUUUACAUGUUUUCUGGAUUGUAUACUGUAAAUGAAAUUGUACAGUCAAUGCAAUUGUUUUACAGAUUUAUAUUUUGGAAAAAAAUCCUUGGCUAUUUGUAAUAAAAAUGAAAUUAAUUUCAUUUAUUUUUUAUUUUUAUAAUGACUUUUACUUUACAAUAGUGUUCCUCCAUCAUCGCUGCAUUUCUUGAGCAAUAACGUAGGGAUGGACAUAAGAAAGAAAACAGGGAUAGGGAGGUGGGUGGGCACUAGAUACUCCAAUCAAUAGGAUUUUUUAAACUUACCCAAUAACUUGGCUGUACAUACCAUUCGGGGAUGUAAAUACUGCUGUGCAAAACAAGUAUGAUUUGAUUAAGUAUCCAGAAUACUUUUUAAAGUUUCCCAAAAUUUGUCAGCCAUGGAAUUUGAAAAUUGUAGAAGUGUGCUCAAUGGUUUAUUCCUGCCUCUUCAGUCAAAUAUCUUUUUAACAUAGCUUUAUACUAAAAAUAUCCAAUAUAUAUUUGUUAAAUUUAACAAUUAUUCAAGCCUUCAGAAUAUAAUUGUGAAUGCUUUCUUGGGAUUAAAUAGUCUAACAGUUUGUUUUGAUCCAAAAUGUCUAAUUUGGAUUUAUUUAUUAAAUAUAUCUCUAUCUUUCCAAUUCAAAAGACUCAGCAGCUUAUAUGAAUGGAAUUAUGUUCCAUUCAUGUCAGUUAGAAGUAUUCUCAAAGUAGUUGUGAUUUCACUUUAAAUAUGUCAAUUUGAUAACACAUUUUAACCAAUAUUUAAAUCUAUUUACCUACUGUCUCUGGGAUAUUUAAAAAUGUUUGCUACUGAUCUUUUCAAAAUUAAAUUUAAAAAGAGCCUCACAUUCAGUGUUUUAGAAUCCAAAAAGCUAUUAAAAACUCUCCUAAGGCUUGUCAUACCAAGUAGAGUUCUGUUUUGUAUGUAAUGAAUGAGAGCAUUGUAGGUUGUUAACCUCUAGUGUAUCUUACUAAAUGUCACAUUAACAAGGCCCGGACAGAUUCAAAGUGACACAUAGAAUGGAUUGAAAGAAGGGGAUCACAACUGUUUUAAAAUUUAGUAAAUACAACCCAUAUUUACAACUGAGAUUUCUAAUAAAAACAGUUUAAUAAGCUGUAUAACAUUUUAAAAUAUGAAUUUUAAUAUAUUAACGUUAUUUUAAUUUUAAAAUAUAUUGAGAAUAUAGUUUGCUUUUGAAAGCAGCUGUUUAAUUUACAGGGAAUAAGCUUGUUUCACUUCUCUUUUGGUCAGUGCAACUCAGGAGUAUUUUAUACUCCAAAUCCUGGUAAGUUCUUAGGAAAUUAAGAAAGUUCAAGUUUUUGAAAAAGAUUAUGUGCCAUUGGCUGAGUGUUGACUUUAGCCACCACAGAGAUAGACCCUGUCUAAGAUGAUCUGGCCCUUCAGGCCCUCCAACAGGGCACCCAUCAUUGCUGUAGUUGAAUCUAUUCACCUACGUCAUAUAGAUCAUACAUAAACAAUUAUAUUUUCAAGGAUAAAAAUCCACUCCCCAAAAAUUCUCUGCUUGGAAUCCAGAACCAUAUAAAAUCCCAGAACUAAACUGUCCCAGAGAAAGGAUUUUAUAUAAAGAGGGGAAAACUACAAAGUACUACUUUUCUGUACAGUAAUAUAAACCAGGUGGGUGGAGAUGAAUCUAAAUUGUCAGCAUUGUAUAUUCUUUGUGCUUAGAAGAAUACUGCUUUUUCCUUUCCUCUUCCUUCCCCCUCCCCCCACAAGCAAUUACUGUAUAUUGUUCCAAAACUGGGAGUUAAGAGAACGUGUAUUAGCUACUAAAUCAUUUAAAGUAUUCACAAAGAUGUUUGGAAGAUAAAAGGUUAUUAUCAACAACAUUUGUUUGAAUGUCUUGAUGUGUGUUCUUAGCGCGCCAGUAACAUGCAUGCCAAAGAGCUCUGUAAAUAAACCACUGAAAUACAGACUUCUGAAAACUAGCCUGCUAAGGGGCUAGCAGUAUUAUUGUGCUGGCCAUGGAGAAAGGGAAUGCCUGUCAAGCUGGAAAAUGCAGGCUAGUAGCCUCUUAGCAGGCUAGUUGAAAAAAAAAAUGGCUGUUUGUCAAGUUGAGGGAGGAGGGAUGCAUAGACCCAUUAAUUUCUCUCUUGCCAGUCAGCUUGGUUUUCAUGCUGGCUAUGGAGGACACUUGGAACAAACUUCAGUUCACACAGUGAAAUGCAGUCCCUAGUCUCCCAUAGGCUACCAGGAAGCCCUUUGCCCAGCUCCCCUGGUAUACUAGUUAUGGCUGUACCUGAAGCAGGAAGACCUUGCUACAGUGACUCAUGUCUGGACUAUUGCAGUGCACUCUACAUGGGACUGUCUUUGAAGAUCACUCAGAAACUGCAACUGGUCCAGGAUGUGUUGGCCCAUGUAUUGAUCUUGUUGGCCAAGACUUCCAGAAUGAUUAUAAAUAGUAAAGGGGCAACCCUUGCCUUGUGCCUUUGCUAACUGAAAUUGAAAAGUUUGCGGGGAGUGUUACAUUCACUGCAAUCUUUGCUAUUUGCUGUUGAUAUAUGCUCACCACUCCAAGUUUUGAAUUCUUCUCCAGGAUUCAUUUUAAGACCUCAAAUAAAAGCUUCAUUCCAAA